CACCUUUUAAAAGUACUCAGUGGGCCUUUUGCUAGUGACCCACUGAGCCAUCAAGAAGGGGCUGUGUUGUUUACUUCAAUCGGUGUUGUGACAAGA